rnacentral:misc_RNA from 1 species
AAGGAGUCUAACAUAUCUGCGAGUAUUUGGGUGUCAAACCCGAGUGCGCAAUGAAAGUGAACGCAGGAUCCACGCGUAAGCUGCAGAUUCGACAGAUCUGGAACUAUAGUGCUGGAUUUGAGUAAGAGCAUAUAUGUUGGGACCCGUAAGAUGGUGAACUAUGCCUGAACAGGACGAAGCCAGGGGAAACUCUGGUGGAAGCUCGUAGCGGUACUGACGUGCAAAUCGUUCGUCUGAUUUGGGUAUAGGGGCGAAAGACUAAUCGAACCAUCUAGUAGCUGGUUCCUGC